rnacentral:rRNA from 1 species
UACAGGGGGGCAAGCGUUGUUCGGAUUCAUUGGGCGUAAAGGGUGCGUAGGUGGCGUCGUAAGUCAGGUGUGAAAUCUCGGAGCUUAACUCCGAAACUGCAUUUGAUACUGCGGUGCUUGAGGACUGGAGAGGAGACUGGAAUUUACGGUGUAGCAGUGAAAUGCGUAGAGAUCGUAAGGAAGACCAGUGGCGAAGGCGGGUCUCUGGACAGUUCCUGACACUGAGGCACGAAGGCCAGGGGAGCAAACGG